UUUGCAAUUCUAUUAAGUCUAUGAAUCAAUGGUUGUAUUUAGCAUGAAUUAGGAUGAAUUUAAGAGGAAUCGAAAAUUAGGUCAAAUUGAGUGAAUUCAUGAUUAAACGGUGAAAAGUUGUUAGAUUGAUGUAGAAACUGUUCCUAGACCUUAGGUAAUGUGUAGGAUGAAUUAUGGAAUCAAUGUUAGGUUUAAAACCAUGAGAAAGGAUGAAUUUUCGUAAAACUGCACUUCUGCCCGAGCCUAUAUUCAUCGCUCGCCCUCGCGAACGAUGAUCCUCGCCUCGCGAGUGAUGAAGUUCAUCGCUCGCCACGCGAACCAAUUUCCCUCACCUCGCGAGUUGCACGUCGCAGCUAGCCACAGCGAACAACUGAACUCGCCAUAGCAAGCAUGACCAGAGAGCAUGCAAGAUUUCGUAAUUUUGACUUUUGAGUUGAACCUCAGAUGUUUUUAAGUGCCUGAAGAUGCUUAUUAAAAAUUAAAUGAUAACUUAGAAUGAGAUUGA
rnacentral:lncRNA from 1 species